CGCUAGCGACAGGCUUAACACAUGCAAGUCGAGGGGCAGCAUGAUUUGUAGCAAUACAGAUUGAUGGCGACCGGCGCACGGGUGAGUAACGCGUAUGCAACUUACCUAUCAGAGGGGGAUAGCCCGGCGAAAGUCGGAUUAAUACCCCAUAAAACAGGGGUCCCGCAUGGGAAUAUUUGUUAAAGAUUCAUCGCUGAUAGAUAGGCAUGCGUUCCAUUAGGCAGUUGGCGGGGCAACGGCCCACCAAACCGACGAUGGAUAGGGGUUCUGAGAGGAAGGUCCCCCACAUUGGUACUGAGACACGCACCAAACUCCUACGGGAGGCAGCAGUGACGAAUAUUGGCCAAUGGCCGAGAGGCUGAACCAGCCAAGUCGCGUGAAGGAAGAAGGAUCUAUGGUUUGUAAACUUCUUUUAUAGGGGAAUAAAGUGGACGACGUGUCCUUUUUUGUAUGUACCCUAUGAAUAAACAUCGGCUAACUCCGUGCCACCAGCCGCGGUAAUACGGAGGAUGCGAGCGUUAUCCGGAUUUAUUGCGUUUAAAGGGUGCGUAGGUGGUGAUUUAAGUCACCGGUGAAACUUUGUGGCUCACCCAUAAAAUUGCCGUUGAAACUGGGUUACUUGAGUGUGUUUGAGGUAGGCGGAAUGCGUGGUGUAGCGGUGAAAUGCAUAGAUAUCACGCAGAACUCCGAUUGCGAAGGCAGCUUACUAAACCAUAACUGACACUGAAGCACGAAAGCGUGGGGAUCAAACAGGAUUAGAUACCCUGGUAGUCCACGCAGUAAACGAUGAUUACUAGGAGUUUGCGAUACAAUGUAAGCUCUACAGCGAAAGCGUUAAGUAAUCCACCUGGGGAGUACGCCGGCAACGGUGAAACUCAAAGGAAUUGACGGGGGCCCGCACAAGCGGAGGAACAUGUGGUUUAAUUCGAUGAUACGCGAGGAACCUUACCCGGGUUUGAACGUAGUCUGACCGGAGUGGAAACACUCUUUCUAGCAAUAGCAGAUUACGAGGUGCUGCAUGGUUGUCGUCAGCUCGUGCCGUGAGGUGUCGGCUUAAGUGCCAUAACGAGCGCAACCCUUAUCACUAGUUACUAACAGGUGAAGCUGAGGACUCUGGUGAGACUGCCAGCGUAAGCUGUGAGGAAGGUGGGGAUGACGUCAAAUCAGCACGGCCCUUACAUCCGGGGCGACACACGUGUUACAAUGGCAUGGACAAAGGGCAGCUACCUGGUGACAGGAUGCUAAUCUCCAAACCAUGUCUCAGUUCGGAUCGGAGUCUGCAACUCGACUCCGUGAAGCUGGAUUCGCUAGUAAUCGCGCAUCAGCCAUGGCGCGGUGAAUACGUUCCCGGGCCUUGUACACACCGCCCGUCAAGCCAUGGGAGCCGGGGGUACCUGAAGUCCGUAACCGCAAGGAUCGGCCUAGGGUAAAACUGGUGACUGGGGCU
rnacentral:rRNA from 1 species